rnacentral:lncRNA from 1 species
AGAAGGUUGCAAGGUGCUGGGAAGCCCGCGCCUAUUUAAAAUGCUAGGGUCUCGUUCGUUAUCGGAAUUAACCAGACAAAUCGCUCCACCAACUAAGAAUGGCCAUGCACCACCAUCCACUGAAUCAAGAAAAGCU